GGUAAGGAGAGCUGGUAGGAAGGAGCGGACAGACGUCAGAAAGCGGCCCCAGCUGAGUGAAAUGACGAAAUCAGGGCCACCCGGCCAGCAGGGCUUGGUCCUUUUCCCUUCUUUUAAGACAACAGCUUUCAGCUUUGACUGUCUGCAGCCCAAGACUUUCUUGGAAAUCACCCUGCCUGCCCCACCCCAAAGCUGAUAGGAGUUGGACGUGAAGCUUCCCCUGAACCAGACUGCCUCCCCACGCCUGGGAAGGUACAUGCUGUCCAUCCUGUCCAGCAAGGCAGUCCUCCCUGGACUUCUGGCUCACCCCACUCCCAGGCCAGCUGAUGAUGCAGCUGUCCUGGAGGUUGCUCGGCCCCUGGCCACUCUCUGAGGAGCCUGAAACCCUCCUCCAUCCUCCCCAGAGCUGGGGCCAAGCAGAUGCCCAGAGACUCGCUCUGGCCCCCCAGGGUGUCAGGCCGGCCGGCUGGGUGGGAGUGCUGGGCAGGGAUCUCAAGCCACUUUCCCCUGGCCCCUGGGCCACACUGCCCUUCGGGGCCCCUGAGCUGUGUCCACACAUUCCUGGCGGCCUGCUGCACUGAAGACGAGCCAGAGAGGAAGGGCUGCAGAGCUGAGGGCGAGGAGGCUGCCUCUGGCCUUCCAGGGGCUCCCCUCCAAGCUUUCAAGCUGCUAAAUGGGGUCCAGGUGCUGCCCAGGCUCCCGCCCCCUCAACGGCCCUCAUUCAGGCCCUUCCCCACCGUGCUCAGCACCCAGGUUUACCCCUCACAGGGUCCCUGCAGAGAAACUCCUACCAUCCCCGUGUUACAGGCUCAGAGAAGGGGAAGUGACUCCUCCAGGGUCACAAGGCCAGGGCGUGGAAGACCAGGGUGCUGGCCGACGGGUUUCAUGGCUGGGCCCUGGUUUGUGGGGUGGCCAGUUGGAGACUGAGGUCACACAGUGGCCAAGACUCAUUUCCUCCAUGUGGGAGCCAUGAAAAGAGUGACCAGUCGCCAUCUGAUGGUCUUGAGGGAAGAGCCUGCCUUGGAAUGGAGCCGCUCGAGGAGAGGAAGUGAGCAGAGGAGAGAAAGCAAGCUGGUCUUGAGCCUGGAUCGUGCCAUGCCUGAAGCUGUUGUUUCUCAGCUGUCAGAUGAUUGAGCCAGUAGAUCCUCUGUAAUGCUGAAGUCAGCUUGACUGAGUUUCCUGUGUUACCUGCAGCUCAGAUUGCUGUUCAGGGGCUCUGCCCAGCCAACCCUGACAAUAAACAAGAACUCAGCCACUUGGUGGGGUUAUGCCACGGAACGGACUGCCUGCCAUGUGCUGGAAGCUGUCUAUU
ensembl:lncRNA